AGAGAAAGAGAGAGUCUUUGGAGAGUUGUGAGGAGAUAAGUGACAUAAACUGGCAUGUUCUGAAAGAAUCACUCUGGAUGCUGUGUGGAGAAAACACUGAAAAGGGGGAGAAUAAUUGACUCCAUUCAAGUGUUCGCUCCUGUUUCAAUCAACUAUGGCUGAAGAGUGAGGAGACAUUUGGAAUAAAUAUGGCUUCUGGGGGCCCAUUCCUAUGGAUCAGCAGCUGGCUUCUGGAGGCCCAUUCCUGUGAAUCGUCGAUCUCAUAGAAGAUAAUAUUGUUAGAAGGCUUACCUCAUUGAUGCUGAACAUCCUAAAAAGCUUCUGCUGCUUUGAGUCACUGAAAAAGACCAAGAAACAUGAAUUUAAAAAAAAAUUUCAAAUGUUAUAAAAUAAAUAAUAUGAACUCAUUAUACCUACAAUGAAUAAUUUAAAUUCUUCUUUGGUAGUCCAGCAUAGGUUUAGAAACUAUGAAAACCCUAGAAGAAAACCUAGGCAAUGCCAUUCAGGACAUAGGCACGGACAAAGAUUUCAUGACGAAGACGCCAAAAACAACUGCAACAAAAGCAAAAAUUGACAGAUGGGAUCUCAUUAAACUAAAGAGCUUCCAUACAGCAAAAGAAGCUACCAUGAGAGUGAACAGACAACCUAUAGAAAGGGAGAAAAAUUUUGCAAUCUGUUCAUCUGACAAAGGUCUAAUAUCCAGCAUCUACAAGGAACUUAAAUAAAUUUACAAGAAAAAAACAAACCCAUUAGAAAAUGGGCAAAGGACAUGAAAAGAUACUUCUCAAAAGACAUACAUGUGGCCAACAAUCAUACAAAAAAAACCUCAACAUCACUGAUGAUUAGAAAAAUGCUAAUCAAAACCACAACGAGAUACCAUCUCAUACCUGUCAGAAUGGCUAUUAAUAAAAAGUUAAAAAACAA
rnacentral:lncRNA from 1 species